GGACGGUAGAGCACUACGUUGACAUCGUAGGGGUCACUGGUUCGAUCCCAGUACCGCCCA
rnacentral:tRNA from 1 species